GUUUCCUCAAAAUCUACAGGGGAAUACCAGACAAUGCAACCACCAUAAAAGGACAUAAUAAUUUUAGCAGUUUAGAUAUCAAAUUACAGUAAGAAAAUAUAAUCUGAUCAAUAGAUCACACACGAACAGUAUGUGUACCAAUAUAUGAAUAAGCUAACAAUUGUAACAAUUAUAAAUAUCCCCCAUGUACUUGUUGUGUUGACAGUGAUAUAUCUUAUGGAACC
rnacentral:lncRNA from 1 species